GGGAGUUUAGCUCAGCUGGGAGAGCAUCUGCCUUACAAGCAGAGGGUCGGGGGUUCGAACCCCUCAACUCUCA
rnacentral:tRNA from 1 species